AGCAGCCGAAGCAAACCUUCUAGACAGCAAGCACGAAGAGGGUUGGGGUGACAGGGCUGGGAAGGAAAAACUUUAAUUUCAUGACUGUUUUUCUUGUUUGAUUAGAUACAAAAGGUUGUUGAAUUUAUUUCUAAUGGCAGGUCUCGAAGAGGUGGGCAUUCCGGGUCGGGAGUUUCUUCGCGAGGCUUUGACCAACUGUUCAGACCCACUGCGCGCAAUUGAAGAGUUUCAAGAAGAAAAUGGAAUUCUGUUGCCGUCUUUACGUCCUAUGUUGCCGCUGCUUGAUUUGCAUGGUGUGUGCAGGCUUGAGUUCCAUACAUCUGUGUUGGAAGAGCUAAAGGAGCGCCUUCUACAGCAAAUUGAAAACCUCGGCAGGCAAGAAGGACGCGAGAAAGAGAAAAAGCUCAAAGAGAUGUUGCAGAAAAGCUUUCCAGUAAUCAAGGUCCCAGCGCUUCGUCCAGUGGUUAUGUGCAUACUGAAAAAUAUGGAGCACGUGGAAGAGAAAUACCUGAAGCAAUUGGUCAGCGAUAAAACCCUUUACAAAGAAUGUGAUGUUCAGGUGAAGCGUCAGAUUUGGCAAGAGCACCAGAGCCUCUUUGGCGAUGAGGUGCUGCCACUGCUUUCACAGUACAUCCGGGAAAAGGAAGAAGCACUGUGGAGCUUGUCACCACCACCAACAGCUGGUGGUGCCUCAGCCGAGGCAUCAUCUUUCUUUGGACCGUCACCCAAGCAGCGUAGGCAGGGGGCCGUUUUGCAGCGCCUGCUUGUAAUGGUGGGCCGCAACGUGGUCCUCUAUGACAUGGUGCUCCAAUUUGUGCGCACACUCUUUCUUCGAACACGCAACGUCCACUACUGCACUUUGCGUGUGGAGCUCCUCAUGGCCCUGCAUGACUUGGAGAUCCAGGACAUUACAGCUGUUGACCCUUGCCACAAGUUCUCCUGGUGCCUUGAUGCCUGCAUCCGGGAGAAAAACGUGGACACCAAGCGAUCUCGGGAGCUUCAAGGCUUUCUUGACAGCAUCAAGAGAGGCCAAGAACAAGUGUUGGGUGACCUAUCCAUGACACUUUGUGAUCCAUAUGCCAUCAACUUCCUUGCACAGUCAGCUUUGAAGAUCAUCAACCAUCUUAUUAACAUCGAAGGACUUCCAAGGGACAACCAGGUACUGGUGUUGCUGUUGCGUAUGUUGGCUCUUGGGCUUCAGGCAUGGGACAUGAUAAGUACCCAGCAGUACAAGGAGCCAAAGCUGGAUGUGCAGCUUAUCACCAAGUUUUUACCAGCUCUUAUGUCUCUCAUGGUUGAUGACCAGGUACGAAGCCUGAGUUCCCGACUGCCCCAGGACGACCGAGAGUCAGCCAUCACAACUAUUGAGCACUCAGGACCACCUCCCGAUGCAUAUCAGGCUUAUGUUCAGGAGAAUGCAGUGGCCAGCGUGCUGGCACUCUAUUACACUUUUCACACUGCUCGCCAACGUGAUCGAACUGGCGUAAUGAGAGUUCUGGGCACCUUGGCGGGAGCGGAGGGCCAACGCGCCUACCAGGAUCCAUUCCUGCACACUCUGGUUGGCCACUUGGCUCUCAUGGCUGAUGAUUUUGCCCAAGAGGAUUUCUGCACCGUUGUUUUUGACGAGUUCUUCCUCAGUGGCCUGAGUGGCAACGCUUCUGGAGGCAGCACGCCUGCUGCACUUCCCACCACAGAAGGUGCCAGCAGUGCUGCAAGGCAUUUGCUGCGCCUGUUGUGGCAUGUGCAUGCAAAGCUUCCUCCUGCCAGACUUCAAGGCCUCAUGAAGACACUCCAGCCACUUGUCCAGGCCAAUGAAGGUUUGAAACCAGCAGUACAAGCCUUACAAGACAAAGUGAAAGAUUUGACUCCACCAGCAGCAGAACCGGAGUCGUCAGAUUCUCCUCUACUAAGUGUACCUGUGCCCACACCCAUGUGACAAAGCCUAAAUCAGAAAUAUAGCGCAUUGGUUGAGGAUAUCUGCGUACAAGACGUAGACUAUGCUUACCAUCGUUGCUUCAUGCCAUUUGUUGACUGUUGGGGGAUGCAGCUUUGUUUUCCAUUUUGCACUGGACGGAUAAGUUUGAGACUGUUAUGACAUUUAUCGUGCACGUCAGAUCAUACAUGUCCUUUUUUUUACUCUUGCAUGCAGCUAAAUAAAUGCACAAGUUACUUCAACUCUAUUUUCUCACAAUGCAUUCAACCUUUAAAUGCCGGCCAUUCUGACAGCAUCGCCAUUUCCACAGCAGUUCAUGCUUCUUUCACCAGCACGAAUUCAUCCAAUAAACAGUUUUUCUAUCUCACCUGA